UCAGGACGAACGCUGGCGGCGUGCCUAAUACAUGCAAGUCGAGCGGAUCUUUGGGAGCUUGCUCCCAAAGAUUAGCGGCGGACGGGUGAGUAACACGUGGGCAACCUGCCUAUGAGACUGGGAUAACUCCGGGAAACCGGGGCUAAUACCGGAUAAUUCUUUUCUACACAUGUAGAAAAGCUGAAAGAUGGUUUCGGCUAUCACUCAUAGAUGGGCCCGCGGCGCAUUAGCUAGUUGGUGAGGUAACGGCUCACCAAGGCGACGAUGCGUAGCCGACCUGAGAGGGUGAUCGGCCACACUGGGACUGAGACACGGCCCAGACUCCUACGGGAGGCAGCAGUAGGGAAUCUUCCGCAAUGGACGAAAGUCUGACGGAGCAACCGCCGCGUGAGUGAUGAAGGUUUUCGGAUCGUAAAACUCUGUUGUUAGGGAA
rnacentral:rRNA from 1 species